rfam:Aspergillus versicolor CBS 583.65 unplaced genomic scaffold ASPVEscaffold_8, whole genome shotgun sequence.
GGCCGGGUGGCCUAAUGGUAAGGCGCCAGUUUUCGGUUGCUACGUACCAUUACACUGGAGAUUGCGGGUUCGAGCCCCGUCUCGGUCA